rnacentral:misc_RNA from 1 species
AACUGAUACUACCUGCGGGAACCUCGGAAGGAUCAUUAGUGAACGCCCUCACGGGCUUAUAACUAUUCCAAACCUCUGUGAACCGUGCCCUUCGGGGCUAUUUUACAAACAUGGUGUAAUGAACGUCAUAUAUCAUAACAAAACAAAACUUUUAACAACGGAUCUCU